CGAGCGCUUCCUGCAGGCUCCUCUAGCAGGCGCAGCGGAGCCACAGGGCGCUCCCGUAAGGAGUCCGCCGGGUGCUGGCAGUCACCUUUGGGUAUAGAAACUCUGGAGAAGGCGCCUGGCAGCGGCGACGCCGUCAGGCUACUUCAAGAUGAAUGCCGUAGAAGCCAGUUCAAUUACCAUAACCCCACUGAACUUCAGCCUGGACUUCAAAAAUGCCACUUCUGUGCCUUUAAAUGAAACUGUAUGUGAAAAUUGGAGAGAGAUCCAUCACCUGGUUUUUCAUAUGGCCAAUAUUUGUUUUGCAGUUGGGUUGGCUAUUCCAACCACUUUUAAUCUCCAUAUGAUUGUCCUAAGAGCUAUGCUGACAAUGGGAUGUGUACUUUUUAUCAUCUGGGCAGCCCUUUUUCGUUGUGCUGUGGAUAUGGUAAUCUGGAAUGCGGCAUUCCUUGUUGUCAAUCUUCUGCAUUUUAUGUACUUGCUGUACAAGAGGAGGCCGAUAAAAAUAAAUAAAGAGCUCAGUAGCCUAUACAAGAGAAUGUUUGAACCACUCCAUGUUCCUCCAGAGCUAUUCCAAAGAUUGACAGGACAGUUCUGCAAUAUUCAGAGUCUAAAAACAGGACAAGCAUAUGCUGCAGAAGAUAAAACAUCAGUGGAUGAUCGAUUAAGUAUUCUACUAAAAGGAAAAAUGAAGGUCUCCUACCGAGGGCAUUUUCUGCAUAAUAUUUACCCAUGUGCCUUUAUAGAUUCUCCUGAAUAUCGAUCAACUCAGAUGAAUCGGGGUGAGAAAUUCCAGGUGUCAAUUACUGCUGAUGAUAACUGCAAGUUCUUAUGUUGGUCCAGAGAGAGACUUGUGUAUUUUCUAGAAUCAGAGCCAUUUCUUUUUGAAAUAUUUAAAUAUCUUAUUGGAAAGGAUAUUACAAACAAGUUAUACUCAUUAAAUGAUCCAACCCUAAGUGAUAAGACAUCCCAAAAAAUAGAUCGCCAGCCCAGUCUGUGUUCCCAGCUGUCUGUGAUGCAAAUGAGGAAUAGCAUGGCAAGUUCAAGUGAUGGUGAAGAUGGAUUACAACAGUUUCUCCGUGGAACUUCUACUGCAUCCACCCUUCCAUGAGGAAUUCAUCAACAUUUUCAAAAAUGGUAUGAAAUGCACUGAAUGUCACAUACUUGAGUGAAAUAAUAGUUUGGGUUCUGCAGAAUUAAAGACUGUAUCAGCAUACAAAAGCUGUAUCCAUCCUUCCAAGGCCAACCAUCUCCUUAUUUAAGAACAUCAGCCAAAAUGAAACCAAUUGAAGAAAGUGUGGAAGACGAUGUCUUUGAAGGUCCAUCUGCCACACCAUUUAAAGGUCAUGAAUGACUUCACAGGACAUUCAUGCAUUUGUUCAGAAGAAUUGCAACUGUAGAUGAGAUUUUUCAAAAUGAUGGCGUUAUUAUUUGUGUUUUAAUUUUAUCCGCCUUUGACUUUAUAGUAUGUAUGAGCAAACUUUUACUGAUCACUCAAACUGUACUAACCUCCACCCCAAAGAUCUUGUUUGUUUCAGUACAUCUAUAAGACUUGUUUGGGCCCUCUUUAUGCUUGAAUGAAUGGAAUAUGAGGAACUAUAUGAGGAAUGGAGGAAUUAUAUAUACAUAGGGCAUUUGUGCACACAUCUGUCCUAAAGUAAAUGACAGCCUUUACAGCAGUGGUUCUCAACCUUUCUAAUGCCGUGACCCCAUAAUAUAGUUCCCCAUGUUGUGGUGACCCCCAACCACUUAUACAUCACCGGGUGCCAGGGGCGUGGCUAAAGAAAAGGGAGGAAAAAUGGCAGACAGCCUUGUUUGGCGACCCCCGUGAAAUGGUCGUUCGACCCCAAAUGGGGUCCCGACCCACAGAUUGAGAACCACUGCUUUACAGCAUCUGGAGUGCCACAUGUGUAUUAGCCUAGGCACAUAAGAACAUUAACAUUCAAUUAUAUUGUAAUGAAUUACAUGGAUUAUAUGGAAAGUAGUCCCACUAAAAGAUAUCUUUAUUUUAGCUUUUUAGGCAAUCAGUAGGACAUGAUUCAUAAAAAAACUUAGUGCAUAGUAUCCGAUUUGCACAAUAUAGAAAAUGAAGGUUUACUACAGUAUUGACAUGUAUCUCCUGAAUAUCAAAAUUCUGGCAGCAAUAACUUACUUGUUAAAUUGGCAAGGGAGAAGAUGGUUUCUGGCAUCCUUUUCUCUCUUGAAUUGGAAAAUGAUUACUACUGUCAAGGACAAAAGUUCUAAUUAGAUAUUGUGUAGUGUGCCACUCACAUUCUGGCAUAUGUAUAAGUUAACAGUUCUCAUCUUUCCUUACUUUCUUUCGGUGUAAAUAGGGUUGAUUCCAGGCAGAAGUUUAAGUUAUUAGUAACUUUAAAACAGUCGACACCUUUCAGUGUCAUUUAUUUAUUGAAUUUAUUGGGGGAUUGUUUUUAUUAUAUUUAUUUAGUGAAAAUUUGACACUAACAUCACAGAAUUAUAAACUAAACCUAUCUUAUAUAUAAAUAAGCAAGCAUGCUUCCUAAAAACAGAAACCAUCCACGCCUACUGUUAUUUUAAAGUUUAUAUUAAUGUAGGACUAUUGGCACCAAGGAUAAACUGAAUUAUGUAGCAUAAAAAUAAUAGAAAUAUUGAGAUGGUCUCUUAAUUCAUCUAAAACAUAUUGAAGUAAAUGGGCCAUCUAGAAACACGAAAUACAAAUAAAUAAAAUAAAUAAAGAAGUACUGUCAUAAAUGAUAAACACUUCUAUUCCCAUUUUCUUAAAAUUUACAAUUUCAUGCUUAAUUUUUUCACUGAAGUUGGUGACAGAGAACAGUGUUUAAUUUUAUUGUAAUUAUAGCUGAUUCAGAAAAUAACUAGAAACAGUCAUCUUGUACUGACAAGCAUCUUAUGGAAAAAGCUCUAAGGUAAAAGAAAAUACAUUUGUCAUGACAGAUGGCUCUAACAUCAGCAAUUAUUUAUGUGAUAGCUAUCUUUGAAGAUCUUUGUAUACUGCACAGUUUUUGAAAACUGAAGUUUAGUAUUAAAAAUCCAAUGGUCAGUUUGUGACAUGGAACAAGUUUAUUUUUCUACGUAUUUAAUUCUUUUGAUAAGAGACUGCCAUAAUUUAUCGCGGAUAGAAUUAUUAUUAUUAUGGAAAAACUUUACAGUUAUACAAUUCAGACUUAGAAAGUACUAGACUGGAUAAACCAAAGCAAUUUUUAAAAACUGAAUUUACUAUGUGCCAUUAUAAGUCACUGUUAUGUUGCAUCAUUUCUAAUCAGCUUGAACUGAAUUGACUAUUUCAAACCUGGACAUAGGAGAAAAAAUUAAUUAACUUUCUGGUACAAGAAAACUGUUAAAAGAAAAGCAUGUGGUUUCAAAAGAAAGCAUUUCUCUAUAUAAGCUUCUAUUUUAACAGCCAAGCAAUAGUUUUCAUGGCCUGUAUGAGUGAUUCUUAUGGUACUGUGGCUAUAUUUUUAACCAUUUAGUGAAAUAUACCUUUGUGACUGUAAUGGAUUUUUCCAAUGAAUUCAGUCCAAGUUACAUUCUUGACAGGUUUGCCAUUAACAUUACCAAAUUAUAUCUUAACGUUAACUCCACAGAUAAUUGAUUAGUCAUAAGGUACCAACAUAGCUCUUUUGCCUCUUUCCUUUUCAAAUUUUGCUGGCUACAUUUAUGGAUUUCUCUGCAACAAUAAAUAAAGUAAUAAAGUUUUUCAAUAA